rnacentral:rRNA from 1 species
UCGAGAAUUUUUCACAAUGGGGGCAACCCUGAUGGAGCGACGCCGCGUGGAGGAUGAAGGCUUUCGGGUUGUAAACUCCUGUCAUUUGGGAACAAGGUGCAAUGGUUAACUGCCGCUGCAUUGAUAGUACUAGAAGAGGAAGAGACGGCUAACUCUGUGCCAGCAGCCGCGGUAAUACAGAGGUCUCAAGCGUUGUUCGGAUUCAUUGGGCGUAAAGGGUGCGUAGGUGGCGGGGUAAGUCAGGUGUGAAAUUUCGGAGCUUAACUCCGAAACUGCAUUUGAUACUGCCUUGCUUGAGGACUGGAGAGGAGACUGGAAUUUACGGUGUAGCAGUGAAAUGCGUAGAUAUCGUAAGGAAGACCAGUGGCGAAGGCGGGUCUCUGGACAGUUCCUGACACUGAGGCACGAAGGCUAGGGGAGCAAACGG